UCUCUUUGCUGAACCUUGAUAUUAGUUUCUCUUUAAACUCCUUCCAACUUCGAAAUCCUCGCCGGUGUGUCUCGCUGUUAAACCAACUCAGAACAUCUCCCACUAGACUCACCGAAACUACAUCAAGCUUCGAUCUCUCAUCAAAACCUGCAAUCCUGAAGUACCUCUCCGCUAACGCGAACCAUCCAUACGCAUCUUCACCGUCAAACACCGGUAGUUCUACUCUC
rnacentral:lncRNA from 1 species